CCACCUCAAAGCCACAAAUUACGGUACAUACUCUGCUGAUAGUAUAUGCCAUAUGAAAGUGAGGCAGUUAACUGCUGUGGCGACAGAGGUCAGUCGGCAUAUACAAAGGGUAGUGGACAUUCUUCCUUGUCUUUUAAACUAUAAAUGAAAGACCAUGAAUAUGGGCUAAUUGUAAGUAAUGAGUUUUUAUAUAAAAACUAAGAGUUUUAAGAAACUGUCAGAUUUGUUUCAGUAAUUUUCAAGGGCUUCACUCAUGCCAGAUUUGUCUGUGGCAACUGGUGUUUUUUAGUUGUAUCAUGGCUUAUCUUUCAUAUCUUCAAAGGUCAGUGAUCAGCAGAUGUAAUUGGAGUAAUAUAUUCUUUGUAAACUAGUUCUGGGUGUGAGAGCAAUACUGCAUGUUCAUCUGAAGAAUAUAUAGUUGUCUUAUGAAAAGUGUAAGGCAAUUGACCUUUAUUUAUCAGUUUUGUGGCUCCAGUGUCAAGCACUGGGGAAGUUAUUAAUAACUUUAUAAGAACAACAAAGUUUUGGAUGCUUUAUUUUCAGGAAGAAUCUUUUUCAUGUAUUUUUUCAUUAAGAAAAAAUUGGAGCCAAGGAUGUAACUGCUUUUGAUGAUUUUUGCUAUACAUAUACUAAGAGGAAAUUUUUUAUGUUAAAAAUCCAGAUUCAUGGGUUCUUGGAAUACUGUGGUUACCUUGCAGUGUUUUCAAGCAGUUUUGUUUUGAAAAUCUAUGGCAUGUUCUUUUCGUCUUUGAAUUUAAAAGUACAUAAGUGCCUUAUAUUGCUGAACUAAUACAAUUACUUAGCUUACAGGUGUUGCAUUUGCUCAUAUCUAUGUAUUGUACCAGUAUUUUGAAUUUAGGGAAUAGAAGAAAACAAAGAAUUGUUAUUCAGUAUAAUAUCUAAAGUACCUAAUUGUUCAAUCUUAAGGAGACACAUAUUUAAUUCAUGUAAAGCAUAAAUUUCCCUGCACUAACCUCAUUACAUUACUUGUGACAUUAAAACAAGUCUUUCUCCUACCCACAGUUAAUGGGUUAGAAAUUAUUGUUUUAGAAUACUCUAUAUGUUUCUUUGUUUCGAAGAUAAACUAAUCCAUGUUUUUGUAUGAGUGCACUCUUUAAGAACUUGUACUUUUUCCUUUCAUUUUUAGCAGCUCUAACUUAUCUUGAAGCCAUGUUUCAGCAACUUUCCUAGAGUUUAAUGUCAAAUACUAUUUAAUGUUAUUAAUGUUUUCUGGAACCGAGACUCAUUUACUUUACGGUGUAGGGUUCUCGUAGAGUAAACUGAGUAUCUGAAGGUAAUUAUCUGUUGCCUUUCCACGCACGCUUACCAAGGCUAUCCUACCUUGAUUCGGCCUGCAAUGACCUUGCCAAAGAACCUGACUAACAAGAACCUUUCAAACAAGGGCAACGAGGUGGUUUUAGCGCCACCAUCACCUGCCUCAUCUGGUGUAAUAAGUGAACAGGAAUACAAUAGUCGUUCCUCAGGAGCGUCAUCGCCUCCGUUGCCUCCUCCACCACCUAGUGACUCAGAGAUUCCUCCAGCAGUACCUCCACACUUUAUGGAAAAAGCCUGAAUCACAACUUAGGAGGGAGGAUGAUGACAAAGAAGCCAAGGAAAAGAAGAGUAGACCACGAUUUAACAAGAAGUUAGUUUUCGAAAUGCAUAGCCUAACGUGGCUAGCCUGCCUUGUCUUGCUUUCUAACCUAACCUCCCUGUGUGGGUGUGUAUAUACACAUUAUGGUUUAGGUUUUGUGUAUGUAAAGAUAAGAAGACGUUUGGUCAAGACUGAGUGCUCUGGACUUGAAAAGACAACUUUGCAGAGGUGGAAUCCUUUUCUGAUAAAAUUCAAGUCUUGACAGUAGUGGGCACCACCGAACAUGAUGAAGUAGAGUUGAAAGAAUUGCUCCUUAUUUCUGGUCUUUACACAGAGAACACUUCAAAUGUUUGUCCUUAUUCAAGGGCUACUUAAUGUAGCUUCUGGUCUUACUCUUGUGAACCCACACAGUUAUGCAGUGUAGCA